AUUGAACGCUGGCGGCAGGCCUAACACAUGCAAGUCGGGCGCGCGGCGGACGGGUGAGUAAUGUAUGGGGAUCUGCCUGAUGGCGGGGGAUAACUACUGGAAACGGUAGCUAAUACCGCAUACCAUCAGAUGAACCCAUAUGGGAUUAGCUAGUAGGUAAGGUAACGGCUUACCUAGGCGACGAUCCCUAGCUGGUCUGAGAGGAUGAUCAGCCACACUGGUACGGAGACACGGCCCAGACUCCUACGGGAGGGAGCAUGGGGGAAUAUUGCACAAUGGGUGAAAGCCUGAUGCAUCCAUGUCGCGUGUAUGAAGAAGGCCUUCGGGUUUUAAAGUACUUUCAGUCGGUAGGCGGUACCGACAGAAGAAGCACCGGCUAACUCCGUGCCAGCAGCCGCGGUAAUUC
rnacentral:rRNA from 1 species